rnacentral:misc_RNA from 1 species
CUGCCCUCAAGCCCGGCUUGUGUGUUGGGUCUUGUCCCCCCCGGGGGACAGGCCCGAAAGGCAGUGGCGGCACCGUCCGAUCCUCGAGCGUAUGGGGCUUUGUCACCCGCUCUGUAGGCCCGGCCGGCUGCUUGCCGACCCCCAUCAAUCUUUUUUUCAGG